GCCAAGUGGUUACGGCGACUGACUAGAAAUCAUUUGGGCUCUGCCCGCGUAGGUUCGAAUCCUGC